CCCUUAGAUGUUCUGGGCCGCACGCGCGCUACACUGAUGCAUUCAACGAGUCUAAAACCUGGUCUGAUAGGGCUGGGUAAUCUUUUGAAAGUGCAUCGUGAUUGGGAUAGAUGAUUGCAAUUCUUCAUCUUCAACGAGGAAUGCCUAGUAAACGCAAGUCAUCAGCUUGCAUUGAUUACGUCCCUGCCCUUUGUACACACCGCCCGUCGCUCCUACCGAUUGAAUGAUCCGAUGAAUACCAUGGAUUGAGAGUACGAAUGGGUUCGCACAUUUCUGCUGCUCGAGAAGUGGAGUAAAUCUUAUCAUUUAGAGGAAGGAGAAGUCGUAACA
rnacentral:rRNA from 1 species